rnacentral:rRNA from 1 species
AGAGUUUGAUCCUGGCUCAGGAUGAACGCUGGCGGCGUGCCUAAUACAUGCAAGUCGAGCGAAUGAAUUAAGAGCUUGCUCUUAUGAAGUUAGCGGCGGACGGGUGAGUAACACGUGGGUAACCUGCCCAUAAGACUGGGAUAACUCCGGGAAACCGGGGCUAAUACCGGAUAACAUUUUGAACUGCAUGGUUCGAAAUUGAAAGGCGGCUUCGGCUGUCACUUAUGGAUGGACCCGCGUCGCAUUAGCUAGUUGGUGAGGUAACGGCUCACCAAGGCAACGAUGCGUAGCCGACCUGAGAGGGUGAUCGGCCACACUGGGACUGAGACACGGCCCAGACUCCUACGGGAGGCAGCAGUAGGGAAUCUUCCGCAAUGGACGAAAGUCUGACGGAGCAACGCCGCGUGAGUGAUGAAGGCUUUCGGGUCGUAAAGCUCUGUUGUUAGGGAAGAACAAGUGCUAGUUGAAUAAGCUGGCACCUUGACGGUACCUAACCAGAAAGCCACGGCUAACUACGUGCCAGCAGCCGCGGUAAUACGUAGGUGGCAAGCGUUAUCCGGAAUUAUUGGGCGUAAAGCGCGCGCAGGUGGUUUCUUAAGUCUGAUGUGAAAGCCCACGGCUCAACCGUGGAGGGUCAUUGGAAACUGGGAGACUUGAGUGCAGAAGAGGAAAGUGGAAUUCCAUGUGUAGCGGUGAAAUGCGUAGAGAUAUGGAGGAACACCAGUGGCGAAGGCGACUUUCUGGUCUGUAACUGACACUGAGGCGCGAAAGCGUGGGGAGCAAACAGGAUUAGAUACCCU